rnacentral:rRNA from 1 species
GGUGAACCUGCGGAGGGAUCAUUACACAAAUAUGAAGGCGGGCUGGAACCUCUCGGGGUUACAGCCUUGCUGAAUUAUUCACCCUUGUCUUUUGCGUACUUCUUGUUUCCUUGGUGGGUUCGCCCACCACUAGGACAAACAUAAACCUUUUGUAAUUGCAAUCAGCGUCAGUAACAAAUUAAUAAUUACAACUUUCAACAACGGAUCUCUUGGUUCUGGCAUCGAUGAAGAACGCAGCGAAAUGCGAUAAGUAGUGUGAAUUGCAGAAUUCAGUGAAUCAUCGAAUCUUUGAACGCACAUUGCGCCCUUUGGUAUUCCAAAGGGCAUGCCUGUUCGAGCGUCAUUUGUACCCUCAAGCUUUGCUUGGUGUUGGGCGUCUUGUCUCUAGCUUUGCUGGAGACUCGCCUUAAAGUAAUUGGCAGCCGGCCUACUGGUUUCGGAGCGCAGCACAAGUCGCACUCUCUAUCAGCAAAGGUCUAGCAUCCAUUAAGCCUUUUUUUCAACUUUUGACCUCGGAUCAGGUAGGGAUACCCGCUGAACUUAAGCAUAUCA